GGUUGGAUGGCCGAGCGGUCUAAGGCGCUAGAAUCAGGUGUUUCUUGACCCAAUCUAGUCCGAAAGGGCAUGGGUUCGAAUCCCAUUCCAAUCA